GUAUGCUGUAGCAAGGAUCACUUUGAG
rnacentral:miRNA from 2 species